CAAAAAAAUUGGUCAUGAAAACCCUAUGAAUAGCAGUGGAGCAUUGCCUGAUAUAGUGCUAGAAGGUGAGCGGAUGGCACAAAAAGACCAGGCAGGGUUCCAUUCUGCUGUACAUAGGGACACUAGAGUAAGAAUUGACU